GAUCCUGGCUCAGGAUGAACGCUAGCGACAGGCUUAACACAUGCAAGUCGAGGGGCAGCAUGGUAGGUAGCAAUACUUAUUGAUGGCGACCGGCGCACGGGUGAGUAACGCGUAUGCAACUUACCUAUCAGAGGGGGAUAGCCCGGCGAAAGUCGGAUUAAUACUCCAUAAAACAGGGAUCCCGCAUGGGAAUAUUUGUUAAAGAUUUUCGCUGAUAGAUAGGCAUGCGUUCCAUUAGG
rnacentral:rRNA from 1 species